GAGCAGUUCGCGAGCCUGGCAAAGAUUCGGACCGCGCGCUGGACAGCCCAAGGGUCCCCCACUGCCCCUAGCGCUGUCCGUACCCCCAGGCUCCCGCUGCUCCGGCCAGUGGAGCUGCAGGCACUGCUUGCCUUGAUGCCGAUCGCCACUGGGCAGCCCGCGGCGGACUCAAGAGGGACCCGGAUCGGACAGCUGUCUUUGCUGUCGCCCCGCCCUGCACCCCUAGACGCUGUCCCCUAGCGCGCGCGCUAGCCCCUACCCAAGCAAGGGGACAAAGCAGCGGCCCCGGGGCCCCACCGCUCCGGCCUCACUCACCUCUUUCGUGCAGCUCCAAUCCCUGGGCGCUGCCCUCGCGUUUGACUCCGGCCACCGUCCUCCCCUGCCCCCGCGCCGCUCCAGACUGCGCCCUCCCGCCAGCACGCUAAGGCUGUCCCGUGCCACCGCCCCUCGGUCUCAGCACGGCUCUCGGCGCCCCUGAGCUCGGAUUCGGCGCUCCACCGCGCCGGGAGCCGGUUCUUUCUCCGCUGCAGCCGCCGCCACCGCCGCUCUCCGCCCCCAACCCCUUGACGUCAGGCAGAGGGUGUCGAGUGGUGGCCGGGGGCGGGACGCGAAGGCCCGCCCAGGAGGGGGCUGCGACCCGCUGCCUUGCUUGCCCGGCACUGAGGCUUGGGGACCCUUUACGUCUCUUGCAGCUCGACUCUUGCAGCUCGUGAGUCAAGGUCUGCGCCACAGCGGCCGGAGGCGGGGAGGGGGCGGGGUNNNNNNNNNNNNNNNNNNCCAGGCGUUGCCACCGGGAACUGCACGAACUGCGCUCACCUGGUGAAGUGUGCCUUCAAGCCCUGAGGCGGGAUGGGCUCUCUGGAAGGGUUGAGGGGCUUCCCCACGCUCCAGUUACGGGAACGAAAACUGGCAAACCAUUUUGGGACUUGUACCCGAAGGGGGUGGCGUAGCAAGAGAAGAAACUGAAGGUUCUCUCAGGUGCUAACCACAGUGGUCAGUCUUUUGACUCCAAAGUUGUCCUCCUUUCUGGCCCUAACUCUUGGACUGGAAGGAGCAGCUCACAGGCAGAGGAGACCCCAAGACUGCAGGCAGCUCCUAGUUUCCAGGCUCCAGCAGAGCCUACCCCCGGGAAAUGACUCUUGGUGUGGCUUGGAAGGCUGAUUAACUAGAGGCACGAGCGCGCCACGGUUCAGAUGAAAGAGGCUGGAGGGAGCCACGCAGCGAACCACCACCACCUUCAGAACUGCCAGCCUCCGCCCACAGGUGCUCCUAGAAGUAACUUGUAGCUGUGGCCUCCUGGACGGUGCUGGCUGGCAAAUCCUUCCAGCCAGCUGGUCCUCCAGUGGGCAGGUGGACUGAGAAACCUCGGGGAAACUGCCCCAGCGGUACCUGGAGACCACCCCUAACCAGAAUCAAAGGACAGGGACGAAGGGAAGGAGGCCUGGAGGUUUCCGUGGUAACUUUGAGCCCCAGGGGGCAGUCCUGGAGGGGAAAAAACACUUCAGACCCCAUAAGCAGAUCUGGAGUAUAAAUCAGUCCGACAGCAGCUUUUGUUCUGGGCUAAAACGUGGCACCUGAGAAGUGAAGAGCAGAAGAGCAAUGGGAGUAAUCGAGGAUGGCAGCCCAGUUUGGUUUCAGUAACAAUUGGGUCUUUACUGGGACACAGAAGGGCCCCUUCUCCCUCGCUGGCCAGAGCCACGUUUCCCAGCUCCUUUCCAUUAGGAAACAAAGCUGUGACCUCAGAGAUAGGAGGCAGGCCAGCUAUUGCCAGGGGUGGGCAGGGAGGGUGUCCUAUGGAAGCUGGCCAGGGAGGGAGCCAUGCACACUCCUCUUGACCAGGCUCCUGUUCAUCUACUAAGGGCAAGCCCCACUCCAAGCUCAGGAUUCGCUAAAAGCUAAGACUCCUCAGCUCCAGGAGGCUGAAGCAGGACUUCCAAGCCAGCUACUGUUUCUCUCACUGAAUAAGAGAUUAAGCAAGAU
ensembl:processed_transcript D430040D24Rik RIKEN cDNA D430040D24 gene